rnacentral:rRNA from 1 species
UACAGAGGUCCCGAGCGUUGUUCGGAUUCACUGGGCGUAAAGGGUGCGUAGGUGGUGAGGUAAGUCGGAUGUGAAAUCUCGGAGCUCAACUCCGAAACUGCAUUGGAAACUACCUCGCUCGAGGGUUGGAGGGGGGACUGGAAUACUUGGUGUAGCAGUGAAAUGCGUAGAUAUCAAGUGGAACACCAGUGGCGAAGGCGAGUCCCUGGACAACUCCUGACACUGAGGCACGAAAGCUAGGGGAGCAAACAGG